CCUACGGGUGGCAGCAGUGAGGAAUAUUGGUCAAUGGGCGCGAGCCUGAACCAGCCAAGUAGCGUGAAGGAUGACUGCCCUACGGGUUGUAAACUUCUUUUAUAAAGGAAUAAAGUCAGGCCCGUGUGCCUUUUUGUAUGUACUUUAUGAAUAAGGAUCGGCUAACUCCGUGCCAGCAGCCGCGGUAAUACGGAGGAUCCGAGCGUUAUCCGGAUUUAUUGGGUUUAAAGGGAGCGUAGAUGGGUUGUUAAGUCAGUUGUGAAAGUGUGCGGCUCAACCGUAGAAGUGCACUUGAUACUGGCAGUCUUGAGUCCAGUAGAGGUAGGCGGAAUUCGUGGUGUAGCGGUGAAAUGCUUAGAUAUCGCGAAGAACUCCGAUUGCGAAGGCAGCUUACUAGACUGCAACUGACGUUGAUGCGCGAAAGUGUGGGUAUCAAACAGGAUUAGAUACCCCUGUAGUC
rnacentral:rRNA from 1 species